UUGUGUGAAUGGGACGCGACCGUGGCGGCGGUAUCCCGCGUCCUGACAACAACAACAAAAAAAGGGGAACUGGAGGAACGUUUGUGUGUUUAUUCUGCGUUUAUUUUCAUGCCUUAAUGCUUACCGAGUCACCCUUUUAUUCCGUACUGGAAAUGAGGCUGUAGUAUAAACUAAAGCGAAGAAGCUCCGUUAGAAAGACAACACCGGGAACCUGACUGUGGACUGGAGCAGCGCUGAGAGCUUCACGUGAUGCAGUACCUGACUAACUCCAGUCCUGGCGUCUGAUGACAUGCAAAGACAGACACUAUGAUCAAGAAAUAUGACGAAGUAAACUUAUCAUUGUGAAGAAAUAAGUCCGUUAAAUCGCAACUGAGAGAAAACAGUAACUUAGAGAAAACGAAUAUAAAGCAAGAUACAAAAUGACGGAGGGUCGGCAGUGUCAGGUGCUUCUGCUGGAUGACAGACCGCUAGAACUGCUGGUUCAGCCCAAACUGCUGUCUAGAGAUCUCUUGGACAUGGUCUCAUCCCAUUUUAGCCUGAAGGAGAAGGAGUAUUUUGGAAUUUCAUACACCGACACAAAUGGUCAGACGAGCUGGCUGCAGCUGAACCGGAGAGUACUGGAGCACAACUUUUCCAAAAAGACUGGACCACUCGAGCUCAAAUUUCAUGUUAGAUUUUAUAUUGAGACUGUCGGAUUAUUGAAAGAUCCCUCCACCGUGAAGCUGUUUUACUGGAAUGCAAAGUCUUCUGUCUACAAUGGCGCUAUUGAAUUGGAGAGUGAAGAUGUUUUUAAGUUAGCUGCGUUCGUGUUGCAGGAGGCUAAAGGGGACUACACAAGUGAUGAAAGUGCAACAUCAGACUUGAAAAAGCUGCCCGUGUUUCCCACAGCUGUUUUAAAGGAGCACCCAUCCCUGGCCUAUUGUGAAGGCCGAGUAAUUGAGCAUUACAAAACCCUCAAAGGGCUCACCCGAGGAAAGGCCAUCGUACAGUAUCUGUUGUUAGUGGAAUCCUUACCGUCAUAUGGUGUUCAUUAUUAUGAAGUGAAGGACAAGCAAGGAAUUCCGUGGUGGUUGGGAAUCAGCUACAAAGGCAUUGCCCAGUAUGACCAACAAGACAAGCUGAAACCCAGGAAGGUCUUUCACUGGAAGAAGUUAGAGAACUUGUAUUUCCGUGAGAAGAAAUUUGCAGUUGAGGUCAACGACCCUCCCAGGAGAGCAUCAUCCAAAUCCACUUUUGGCCAGUCUGGACAGACGAUCCACACGUGGUAUGCCAGCCACUCACUGAUCAAAACCAUCUGGGCGAUGGCCAUCAGCCAGCACCAGUUCUACCUGGACUGCAAACAGAGCAAAUCUAAAACAAGCACAUCUAAGAAUCUGGGAGACAUUGCCAUGGAUCUUACAGAUAAUGGAGCCUCCAGAGUCAGCAAGCUGGUGAGCGGAGAGAGCAAAGACCAGCUCAUCAUGGCCAGCAAUGGAAGUUUGGCAUCUGCAGGUUCUGCAGAUUCAGAGGUAAACGAGGAGCUGAAGAAAGAGAAGAUUGCCGAGCUGAAGCAGAAAGCGAAUAGCCUUCAGGAACUUCUGAAUAAGAAAUUGAGUGAGCUUAAGAAGAUCUGCCUCAGAGAAGCAGAACUGACAGGCAAAUUGCCAGAAGAAUAUCCUUUAGCAUCAGGAGAGAAACCUCCUACUGUUAGAAGACGUGUAGGAACUGCUUUCAAGCUGGACGAUCUUUUCCCUUACAAUGCAGACCCUCACGUAAGGAACUUAGAAAGCCGGUUUGCUCUACAGCAGAAGAUUGUAGAAGCUGCAAAGAAGCUUGCCAAUGAAACCGAACUCUGCAAAACUGUGAAGAAGAAACGAAGGAGAAACUUUGAAGAUGCUAUGAAGACACUUCAACAGAUUGAGAAUGAAAUUAAUGACUAUAGAGUGAAGACGGGCAAGAAACCUACGCAGAGGGCCUCUCUGAUUAUUGAUGACAUGAAUGCAGCAGAUCUCAGUUCACUAUCUGACAGCUUAAACCUGGAUGACGACGAGACAUUCGUAGUGCAACGGCAGCGUUCCCGUUCAGUCCAGUAUUCUCCACGGCCUCAAGACAAUCUCAGUGUUCCAUAUAUCGCCGAUCGCAGGGCCUCUGAGCAGCCAAACAACUCUGACAGAAUAAACUACGGUGAAGUCCAAGAACCUUACUCCUACAUCAACCAAGAUGCUUCAUCACCGCACAGUAGCCCCUUUUACGCUCCCUCCAGGCAAGCAGGAAACUCCCGCAGCAUGCCCCCCACACCCCAGCUGACCCGCAACGCCUUCAGCAGCAUCCAGCUCAGGUGCGAGGAGGACACGCCUCAGCACUUCCGUCAGCGGAGUGGCAGUCUGGAGUCUCAGUCACUCUUUGCCUCAGAGUGUGAUGGCCCCGAGCCUGUGUUUACAAUCACCGCUGGAGCCCGCCGCAGUAACAGCACAGAGGUACUUGAUGAUGUCUCCUCACACACCAGCCAGUCAAGCACAGAAUACUGCGGCCAUUCGCGUGCUCGAAACCGCCACCGACGCCAGAGGGAUUACACCUAUGCUAAUACAGGCAGCAUGCCCAACCUGGCACAGAAUGAUUCUCGCUGCUACACCCACAAGGCACCGACCAGGCCCCCCACAACAGCCUACUAUGUCACUGGAUACCCCUGCUACGCAGAUCCGUACACCAACGGAAGCUACGCAUACGAGGACGAGACUGCGGGCCAUUAUAGCGUAAAUCCCACCUAUCAGGCUCUGUCCUACCAUCCACAGGAACCAUACAGUGACUACGCUCAUGCUGAGAUGGACCCCAUGAGCCAGAAUCCAUAUGCUACACUUAGGCAGGCAAGGAGUCGACCGCCAUCGAGGAACGAAAACGUCAUGAAGGACAUGCAGAGGGCCAUGGUGGCCGAGCACUUACGAGGCUGGUAUAACCGGAAUGCACAGCACAAGCAGAUGCCGUACGAGUAUGAGAGGGAGCCCCAGCAAAUCCUGCCGUACAGAAUGACGCCACAUCCUUAUGGCUAUAACGAUCGCAGCCACUUAUACGGCUCAGUUUCUUCAGCAUCUAGCACGGGAAACUGGCGUGAUCACUUGUCUGUGGGUUUAUCGGAAUACAACAUGGGUCUUCAUCCGCAACAUGCCUAUAGCUACAGUUCAGUCCAUCAGAGUCACCUUCCACAGAGCCGACAUGCCUUCAGUCCACACCCUGCACCCUCCUGGUACUACCCACCUCCUUCCUUCUCACCUAGUGCCUGUUCUUCCUCAUCCUCUUACUUCUCCCUCCCGCCACCCCCUUCUUCCCGCUAUCGGGUGGAGCGUUCAGGCUGUGAUGGUUCCAAAACUGACAUGGUUAAUAAAGCCUCCUUGCUAAAUGUAGCCCUUGAUACCGCCAGACACAUCUUCUAGCUCCGCCCCCAGGCCCCAGAGCUCCAUCUCCAUUUGCUAGGAGGAGCCCAGCUCCAGGAACUUUAGACAUGCCUGGUGCUGUUGCCAGUGGUUAUGACCAGGACUUUUAUUACACUCAGUGCUAGUGCAACUUGCAGCACUAAACAAUGUGGUGAGCUGCAUACAAAAACCCCACACUGCUUCUCUAACCUGUGUGCUAAAUUAACUGUUCUCACUCCUAACAAUCAAUUUCCUUAUGCACUAAACCUGUCUGGUAGCUCGGCUUUUUUGCACCACACUGCUGGAUAGGUUUGUGCGUUCAGUGGUGGUGGGUCGGUGUUGUGGGUUCGGGUGUCAUACUACACGGGUGGUGUCGUGUUCUGAGGACCAACAUGUCAUGUCUUGAUUUUGUCAUACAUAGAUGUAAACCAGAUGGAUUCAUGCCUGAAUAGCCCAGUGGACAGUUUUGACUCUGAGGAUCAGACACUUUACUGGCACGAAGACUCUAAGCCUGGAACGAUAGUGUAAAUUAAG